rnacentral:rRNA from 1 species
GUGGGGAAUAUUGCACAAUGGGGGAAACCCUGAUGCAGCGACGCCGCGUGGAGGAUGACGGCCUUCGGGUUGUAAACUCCUUUUGUCAGGGACAAUGGUGAUGGUACCUGACGAAUAAGCCACGGCUAACUCUGUGCCAGCAGCCGCGGUAAGACAGAGGUGGCGAGCGUUGUUCGGAAUUACUGGGCUUAAAGGGCGCGUAGGCGGUGGUGUAAGUCUGGGGUGGAAUGCUACAGCUCAACUGUAGAGCUGCCUUGGAAACUGCAUUACUUGAGUCGGUGAGGGGAAGGCGGAAUUCCUGGUGUAGCGGUGAAAUGCGUAGAUAUCAGGAGGAAGGUCUGUGGCGAAGGCGGCCUUCUGGCACUUGACUGACGCUGAGGCGCGAAAGCGUGGGGAGCAAACAGGAUUAGAUACCCGAGUAGUCC